UUGGAACAGAACGUCACAGAGGGUGAGAAUCCCGUGCGAUGAGAUGAUCCAGGCCUAUGUAAAGUUCCUUCGAAGAGUCGAGUUGUUUGGGAAUGCAGCUCUAAGUGGGUGGUAAAUUCCAUCUAAAGCUAAAUAUUGGCGAGAGACCGAUAGCGAACAAGUACAGUGAUGGAAAGAUGAAAAGAACUUUGAAAAGAGAGUGAAAAAGUACGUGAAAUUGUUGAAAGGGAAGGGCUUGAGAUCAGACUUGGUAUUUUGUAUGUUACUUCUUCGGGGGUGGCCUCUACAGUUUACCGGGCCAGCAUCAGUUUGGGCGGUAGGAGAAUUGCGAUGGAAUGUGGCACGGCCUCGGUUGUGUGUUAUAGCCUUCGUAGAUACUGCCAGCCUAGACUGAGGACUGCGGUUUUAUUACCUAGGAUGUUGGCAUAAUGAUCUUAAGUCGCCCGUCUU
rnacentral:rRNA from 1 species